UGGGGAAUAUUGGGCAAUGGGCGCAAGCCUGACCCAGCGACGCCGCGUGGGUGAUGAAGGCCUUCGGGUCGUAAAGCCCUGUCGGGUGGAAAGAAUGGUUAUUGGGCGAAUAAGCCAGUAACGUGACGGUACCACCGAAGGAAGCACCGGCCAAUUCCGUGCCAGCAGCCGCGGUAAGACAGAGGCCACGAACGUUGUUCGGAAUCACUGGGCAUAAAGCGCACGUAGGCGGCUAGGUCCGUCCGAUGUGAAAGCCCCCGGCUCAACCGGGGAAUUGCAUCGGAUACAGCCUGGCUUGAGGACGGUUGGGGUGAGUGGAACUCCUGGUGGAGCGGUGAAAUGCGUAGAUAUCAGGAGGAACACCGGUGGCGAAAGCGGCUCACUGGACCGUUACUGACGCUGAGGUGCGAAAGCUAGGGGAGCAAACGGGAUUAGAUACCCCCGUAGUCCCUGAGCGGGCUGGCAAGGCGCAU
rnacentral:rRNA from 1 species